CGUGAAACCGUUUAGGGGUAAACCUGAGAAACCCGAAAGGUCGAAGGGAGAAAUUCAUUCGCGUUUCGGAAACGGCGUCGGAUAUUCGCGAGACGGAAGGGCGUUCGCGCGCUUUUUCGCUCCUUUUAUUCGUUCGAACCGUUUUCGAACGCGUGCACUUUUCUUCUGGUAGGACGUCGCGAUCCGUUGGGUGUCGGUCUACGGCUCGCGGUGGAGCCCGUUUGAGCGUACUCUGUACGAUCGAAAGGACCCGUGUGUUCCUGGCCGACUCGCUCGACGGUAUACGAAAGGUUAGGGGCCGCUCUUUUCGGAGCGUCCGGCUCUCGGCAAGCGCGUCAGAUGUAUCGUUGGCGAUCGGACCUAGUGCCGAUUCCGACCUCUGACGACUGUUGGCCGAGAAGUUCUCGGACAGACCUCGCGACCGAUCUGCGGCGCUAUAGCUUUGGGUACUUUCAGGACCCGUCUUGAAACACGGACCAAGGAGUCUAGCAUAUGCGCGAGUCAUUGGGAAUCACUAAACCUAAAGGCGAAAUGAAAGUAAAGGUCUUCCUAGCGGAGACCGAGGGAAGACGAGCGAUAUUACCGUUAAAAGUGAUCGUUCCGCACUCCCAGGGCGUCUCGUUCUUAUCGCAAGAAGAGGCGCACCAAGAGCGUAUACGCUGGGACCCGAAAGAUGGUGAACUAUGCCUGGUCAG
rnacentral:rRNA from 1 species